AUACGGAGGAUCCAAGCGUUAUCCGGAUUUACUGGGUUUAAAGGGUGCGUAGGCGGGAGGCUCAGUCGGCGGUGAAAUGCAGCGGCUCAACCGUUGCCCUGCCGUCGAAACUGGCCGCCUUGAAUUCGGUCGAGGCCGGCGGAAUGCGCGGUGUAGCGGUGAAAUGCUUAGAUAUCGCGCGGAACGCCGAUUGCGGAGGCAGCUGGCUGGACCGAGAUUGACGCUGAUGCACGACAGCGUGGGGAUCGAACAGGAUUAGAUACCCUGGUAGUCCACGCCGUAAACGAUGGAUACUAGGUGUGGGAAGUAUCGAACCCUUCCGUGCCGCAGUAAACGCAAUAAGUAUCCCGCCUGGGGAGUACGGCCGCAAGGUUGAA
rnacentral:rRNA from 1 species